GUCUACGGCCAUGCCACCCUGAACAAGCCUGAUUCCAUCUGAUCUCAGAAGCUAAGCAGGAUCAGGCCUGGUUGGUACUUGGAUGAGAGACCGCCUAGGAAGACCAGGUGCUGUAGGUG
rnacentral:rRNA from 1 species